UGGGGAAUAUUGGACAAUGGGCGAAAGCCUGAUCCAGCCAUGCCGCGUGUGUGAAGAAGGUCUUUGGAUUGUAAAGCACUUUAAGUUGGGAGGAAGGGCAGUAAGCGAAUACCUUGCUGUCUUGACGUUACCGACAGAAUAAGCACCGGCUAACUUCGUGCCAGCAGUCGCGGUAAUACAGAGGGUGCAAGCGUUAAUCGGAAUUACUGGGCGUAAAGCGCGCGUAGGUGGUUCUUUAAGUUGAAUGUGAAAGCCCCGGGCUCAACCUGGGAACUGCAUCCGAAACUGGCGAGCUAGAGUAGGGCAGAGGAUGGUGGAAUUUCCUGUGUAGCGGUGAAAUGCGUAGAUAUAGGAAGGAACACCAAUGGCGAAGGCGGCCACCUGGGCUCAUACUGACUCUGAGGUGCGAAAGCGUGGGGAGCAAACAGG
rnacentral:rRNA from 1 species